rnacentral:rRNA from 1 species
UACGAAGGGGGCUAGCGUUGUUCGGAAUCACUGGGCGUAAAGCGCACGUAGGCGGAUUGUUAAGUCGGGGGUGAAAUCCUGAGGCUCAACCUCAGAACUGCCUUCGAUACUGGCAAUCUCGAGUCCGGAAGAGGUUGGUGGAACAGCUAGUGUAGAGGUGAAAUUCGUAGAUAUUCGCAAGAACACCAGUGGCGAAGGCGGCUCACUGGCCCGGUACUGACGCUGAGGUGCGAAAGCGUGGGGAGCAAACAGG